GGAUCUUCUGUCAGUUUGCAGCAGGGCUCUCCAAACUCCAAGCAGAAAUCCCACUUAACACUCGGGUUUCCAGGGGAGUUGGAAACCUGAACUCCCUGAACCUGCCUGAAUCUGGCACAGGGACUCAGUGAUAUCGAGAGGAGACUGGUCUGACCCCAAAACAACCACUGUGGCUUCAGGUUGAUCUUUGGGAUGCUGGAUUAGCACAUACACAGUACCACUGGUCUUUCCAGCAAGACGAUAAGGAUGCUUACUGGGCAAAAGGGACAACCUGAGAGCCACUUGCCACUCAGAACACAUCUCCCUGUGUUGUGUUAAGUCUCAUUACGUACAUCCCUGGUGGAACGCACCUCUAGUGCCAUCUUUAUUGGCUGCAUUCAUUCAACAGGUCCGCAUGUGUGGUCAGUCUGAAUGCCUUAUCUCUUCUAGUCUAGAUGCACACCCCAGGGUGUUUAUAAACUGGAACAUUCCUGUCAUCAGCAACCUUUCUGUUGUGCCCAACAUACUAUAAUCUACAUUUCUUGUGAACAUUUAAAUUACAUGUGGAAGAUUAAAUUACCAACACGAUUUAUUUCAGGGAUGAUUCAGUAGCACCGCUCCUGCUAUGCCCUAGGGUGCUUUAUCUCCUGGGACUCAACGGUUGUCCCAAAUUACUGACUUGUCACUGAACUUGCCCUGGAAAGAACUCCUAAACUCCAGCUUGCUGGUAGAAUGUAGUAUGUGAUCUGAAUGCAGCAGGAUUAUCUGCGGCAAGUACCCUGAGGCUCCGCCCUCUCCCCUCUGAGAAGGACAGCACUGCGCUCCCUAAGCAAGUCCACCCAGGCAAUUCCACAUACAUUUACAAGAACAAUUCUACUUCAGUUAGCUAGCAGGGAUUUGGUACUUACAAAGUGUUAUUUAAGUACAUUAAACAGUAUUACAUCACAUAUAUUUCAGUAACUUUUGAGCAAAACAUCCAUGCCUUUUGGAAACAUAAUAACACAUGAAAAAAUACACUCCAAGUUUUAUAAAGUGCAUUUAUACACAAAGAUGGCAGCUGUGCCCUAUAGAAGGAUUUUAAAUGGUGCACAACAAUCAGAAGAAAAUUAAUGACGGGAGGUGGUCACAUGUUCAGCAGAAACACAAACAAACGAGACAAACGAGAUAUAUUUUAAGCAUUAAAACCAGUUCUGUCAA